ACGGCUCAGUAACACGUGGAUAACNUGCCCUUGGGACCGGCAUAACCCCGGGAAACUGGGGAUAAUUCCGGAUAACGCAUAUGUGCUGGAAUGCUUUAUGCGUAAAAUGGAUUCGUCUGCCCAAGGAUGGGUCUGCGGCCUAUCAGGUAGUAGUGGGUGUAAUGUACCUACUAGCCGACAACGGGUACGGGUUGUGAGAGCAAGAGCCCGGAGAUGGAUUCUGAGACAUGAAUCCAGGCCCUACGGGGCGCAGCAGGCGCGAAAACUUUACAAUGCGGGAAACCGUGAUAAGGGGACACCGAGUGUCAGCAUCAUAUGCUGGCUGUCCAGGUGUGUAAAAUACACCUGUUAGCAAGGGCCGGGCAAGACCGGUGCCAGCCGCCGCGGUAACACCGGCGGCCCGAGUGGUGAUCGUGAUUAUUGGGUCUAAAGGGUCCGUAGCCGGUUUGGUCAGUCCUCCGGGAAAUCUGAUAGCUCAACUAUUAGGCUAUCGGGGGAUACUACCAGACUUGGAACCGGGAGAGGUAAGAGGUACUACAGGGGUAGGAGUGAAAUCUUGUAAUCCCUGUGGGACCACCUGUGGCGAAGGCGUCUUACCAGAACGGGUUCGACGGUGAGGGACGAAAGCUGGGGGCACGAACCGGAUUAGAUACCCGGGUAGUCCCAGCCGUAAACGAUGCUCGCUAGGUGUCAGGCAUGGCGCGACCGUGUCUGGUGCCGCAGGGAAGCCGUGAAGCGAGCCACCUGGGAAGUACGGCCGCAAGGCUGAAACUUAAAGGAAUUGGCGAGGGAGCAC
rnacentral:rRNA from 1 species